rnacentral:lncRNA from 1 species
CGAAAGAUAAAAAUGAAUGUGCUGACAGAAAUUUUAUUAUAAAAUUAAUUUAAAAUUAUAAAAUAUUUUAAAAAAAUAUUGAAAUAAUCAAGAUAUAUAAGAAUUUAAAAGUAUUGCUUAAAAAUGAACAGAAUCGUGGUUUGGUAAGUAUAGUGAAGUGUACUUUUUGUUAUUUAUGGAUGGUACAUUUUAAUCUUAUGGCCAUGUUAUUUUUGCUAGGACCAAUAGUAAUCUGCUAGCAUGAAGAGUG